UGGGGAAUAUUGCACAAUGGGCGAAAGCCUGAUGCAGCCAUGCCGCGUGUGUGAAGAAGGCCUUAGGGUUGUAAAGCACUUUCAGCGAGGGGGAAAGGAUUAAAGUUAAUACCUUUAGUCUGUGACGUUACUCGCAGAAGAAGCACCGGCUAACUCCGUGCCAGCAGCCGCGGUAAUACGGAGGGUGCGAGCGUUAAUCGGAAUUACUGGGCGUAAAGCGUGCGUAGGCGGCUACUUAAGUUGGAUGUGAAAGCCCCGGGCUCAACCUGGGAACUGCAUCCAAAACUGGGUGGCUAGAGUGCGAGAGAGGAGUGUGGAAUUUCCUGUGUAGCGGUGAAAUGCGUAGAUAUAGGAAGGAACACCAGUGGCGAAGGCGACACUCUGGCUUGACACUGACGCUGAGGUACGAAAGCGUGGGGAGCAAACAGGAUUAGAUACCCUGGUAGUCCACGCCGUAAACGAUGUCUACUAGUUGUCCGUUGUCUUGUACGAUGGGUAACGCAGCUAACGCGAUAAGUAGACCGCCUGGGGAGUACGGCCGCAAGGUUA
rnacentral:rRNA from 1 species